UCUGAACGCAUUUCUACUUCCGGUUUAGGCAUUAACAGUUGACGUCAGGUUGUUUGAGGGAAAUUAUGGGAUGCAUUUGAUGACUAGCAGUUAUUUAUGAUCGUUAGAUAUGCUGUGCGCGCGUGCUGUUUGGAGUCUUGACGGUUGAGCAUGGGUAUUUCAAAACAUGGAAUCAUUUCAAACAAAACCUCGCUGAAUAUCGCGAUUGUAACGGUAACUGUACAGUCCUCGAACCUGCAGCCGCUGUGCCAUGUGUCCGCGCGCAGAUGCUUAAGCCGGUGGCGGGAAAUAACAGAGGGAUGUUAUCUGUAACAAACUGAGGAAUUCAGCUCAUGCUGCCCUCUUGUGUGAUUUACAUGCAUGUUCUCAACCAUCAGUGCAGUAGGAACCAAAAACCAAGAGGAAACUAUAAACACUUGAAAGAUGACACCACGCCCCCUGGUUGCAGCCACGCCCCUGGUUGCACGCCACGUCACGCCCACAAGUACGGCUUAGCCCUGUGAUUGGACCGCGAUUGCCUUUCAGCGUAACACGAC
ensembl:lncRNA